AACGAACGCUGGCGGCAGGCCUAACACAUGCAAGUCGAACGCCGUAGCAAUACGGAGUGGCAGACGGGUGAGUAACGCGUGGGAACAUACCCCUCGGUUCGGAAUAACUCAGGGAAACGUUAGAGCUAAUACCGGAGUACGUCCGAGGUUUUGGUAUCGACCUUGGAGAAAGAUUUAUCGCCGAAGGAUUGGCCCGCGUCUGAUUAGCUUGUUGGUGAGGUAAUGGCUCACCAAGGCGACGAUCAGUAGCUGGUCUGAGAGGAUGAUCAGCCACAUUGGGACUGAGACACGGCCCAAACUCCUACGGGAGGCAGCAGGUGGGGAAUAUUGGACAAUGGGCGAAAGCCUGAUCCAGCCAUGCCGCGUGAGUGAUGAA
rnacentral:rRNA from 1 species